GGCCACGUGGGUACAUCUAACACAAGUUUUGAAGGGGCGCAUGGGGGCUUUGGCUAUGGCAUCAGGAAUCAAGAAGGAGAAGAUGUCUUAAGCUUUGCUCUAGCGUACAACAUGAUUGUAGCUAACACCCUCUUUAGAAAAAGAGAAUCACAUCUGGUGACUUUUAGUAGUGGCCAACACUCUAGCCAGAUUCAUUUCAUCCUCUCGAGAAGAGAAGAUAGGCGUGCGUGCCUAGACUGUAAGGUGAUACCUGGAGAGAGUGUUGUACCCCAGCAUAAGCUGGUGGUUGCUGACUUCCGCUUUCGGAUUCGUGUCCAGCGGGAUAAGCGUGCCAAAGUCACUAGAACGAAGUGGUGGAAGCUCAAGGGGGAGGUAGCUCAGGUGUUCAAG
rnacentral:rRNA from 1 species